rnacentral:rRNA from 1 species
CCUACGGGAGGCAGCAGUGAGGAAUAUUGGUCAAUGGCCGGAAGGCUGAACCAGCCAUGCCGCGUGAAGGUCAGUGCCCUAUGGGCGUUAAACUUCUUUUGUGCGGGAGCAAUAAUGGUCACGUGUGGCCAGACGAGAGUACCAUACGAAUAAGCAUCGGCUAACUCCGUGCCAGCAGCCGCGGUAAUACGGGGGAUGCAAGCGUUAUCCGGAUUUAUUGGGUUUAAAGGGUGCGUAGGCUGUGAGGUAAGUCAGCGGUGAAAUGCCCCCGCUCAACGGGGUGAAGUGCCAUUGAUACUGCCUGGCUGGAAUGCGGAUGCCGUGGGAGGAAUGUGUGGUGUAGCGGUGAAAUGCAUAGAUAUCACACAGAACACCGAUUGCGAAGGCAUCUCACGAAUCCGCGAUUGACGCUGAUGCACGAAAGCGUGGGUAUCAAACAGGAUUAGAUACCCUUGUAUC